AUCCAGAUGACGAGCCCCGAAUAGGACGAAAUGCGCAUCCUGGAU
rfam:Trichobilharzia regenti genome assembly, scaffold: TRE_scaffold0032983